rnacentral:rRNA from 1 species
CCUACGGGAGGCAGCAGUAGGGAAUCUUCCGCAAUGGACGAAAGUCUGACGGAGCAACGCCGCGUGAGCGAAGAAGGCCUUCGGGUCGUAAAGCUCUGUUGUUAGGGAAGAACAAGUACGAGAGUAACUGCUCGUACCUUGACGGUACCUAACCAGAAAGCCACGGCUAACUACGUGCCAGCAGCCGCGGUAAUACGUAGGUGGCAAGCGUUGUCCGGAAUUAUUGGGCGUAAAGCGCGCGCAGGCGGUCCUUUAAGUCUGAUGUGAAAGCCCACGGCUCAACCGUGGAGGGUCAUUGGAAACUGGGGGACUUGAGUGCAGAAGAGGAGAGUGGAAUUCCACGUGUAGCGGUGGAAUGCGUAGAGAUGUGGAGGAACACCAGUGGCGAAGGCGACUCUCUGGUCUGUAACUGACGCUGAGGCGCGAAAGCGUGGGGAGCAAACAGGAUUAGAUACCCUGGUAGUCCACGCCGUAAACGAUGAGUGCUAAGUGUUAGAGGGUUUCCGCCCUUUAGUGCUGCAGCUAACGCAUUAAGCACUCCGCCUGGGGAGUACGGCCGCAAGGCUGAAACUCAAAGGAAUUGACGG